rnacentral:miRNA from 1 species
UCGAUAAACCUGUGCAUCCAG